CGAAAGCCUGACGGAGCAAUACCGCGUGAGGGAGGAAGGCUCUUGGGUUGUAAACCUCUUUUCUCAGGGAAGAAAAAAAUGACGGUACCUGAGGAAUAAGCAUCGGCUAACUCCGUGCCAGCAGCCGCGGUAAUACGGAGGAUGCAAGCGUUAUCCGGAAUGAUUGGGCGUAAAGGGUCCGCAGGUGGCAUUGUAAGUCUGCUGUUAAAGAGUCACGCUCAACGUGAUCAAGGCGGUGGAAACUACAAAGCUAGAGUGUGGUCGGGGCAGAAGGAAUUCCUGGUGUAGCGGUGAAAUGCGUAGAUAUCAGGAAGAACACCGGUGGCGAAGGCGUUCUGCUAGGCCAAGACUGACACUGAGGGACGAAAGCUAGGGGAGCG
rnacentral:rRNA from 1 species